UACGUAGGGUGCGAGCGUUGCCCGGAUUUAUUGGGCGUAAAGGGCGCGUAGGCGGCUCGGCACGUCCGUUGUGAAAUCGCCCGGCUCAACUGGGCGGGGUCAGCGGAUACGGUCGAGCUUGAGCAAGCUAGGGGGUAAUGGAAUUCCCGGUGUAGUGGUGGAAUGCGUAGAUAUCGGGAGGAACACCAGUGGCGAAGGCGGUUACCUGGGGCUUUGCUGACGCUGAUGCGCGAAAGCGUGGGGAGCGAACGAGGAU
rnacentral:rRNA from 1 species